GACGAACGCUGGCGGCGCGCCUAACACAUGCAAGUCGAGCGAUGAAAGUUGUUCAGAUCCUUCGGGUGACGAACUUCCGGAUUAGCGGCGAACGGGUGAGUAACGCGUGAGGAACCUGCCUCUCACAACGGGAUAGCCUCGGGAAACCGGGAUUAAUACCGUAUGACACUAUCAGAUGGCAUCAUCAGGUAGUUAAAGUGCUAGCGGUGAGAGAUGGCCUCGCGUCUGAUUAGUUAGUUGGUGGGGUAACGGCCUACCAAGACGACGAUCAGUAACCGGCCUGAGAGGGUGAACGGUCACAUUGGAACUGAGACACGGUCCAAACUCCUACGGGAGGCAGCAGUGGGGAAUCUUGCACAAUGGGGGAAACCCUGAUGCAGCGACGCCGCGUGAGCGAUGAAGGUUUUCGAAUCGUAAAGCUCUGUCCUAUGGGAAGAUAAUGACGGUACCAUAGGAGGAAGCCCCGGCUAACUACGUGCCAGCAGCCGCGGUAA
rnacentral:rRNA from 2 species